rnacentral:rRNA from 1 species
AGAGUUUGAUCCUGGCUCAGGACGAACGCUGGCGGCAUGCCUAACACAUGCAAGUCGAACGGGGAUACGAGAGCUUGCUUUUGUAUCUUAGUGGCGGACGGGCGAGUAACGCGUGAGCAACCUGCCCUUCAGUGGGGAAUAACGUCUGGAAACGGACGCUAAUACCGCAUAACACAACGGAGCCGCAUGACUUUGUUGUCAAAGGAUUUAUUCGCUGAAGGAUGGGCUCGCGUCCGAUUAGCUAGAUGGUGGGGUAAAGGCUCACCAUGGCGACGAUCGGUAGCCGAACUGAGAGGUUGAUCGGCCGCAUUGGGACUGAGACACGGCCCAGACUCCUACGGGAGGCAGCAGUGGGGGAUAUUGCACAAUGGGGGAAACCCUGAUGCAGCAAUGCCGCGUGAGGGAAGAAGGUCUUCGGAUUGUAAACCUAAGUAGCCAGGGACGAUAAUGACGGUACCUGGAGAGUAAGCUCCGGCUAACUACGUGCCAGCAGCCGCGGUAAUACGUAGGGAGCGAGCGUUGUCCGGAUUUACUGGGUGUAAAGGGUGCGUAGGCGGGAUGGCAAGUCAGAUGUGAAAUACCGGGGCUUAACCCCGGGGCUGCAUUUGAAACUGUCGUUCUUGAGUGAAGUAGAGGCAGGCGGAAUUCCUAGUGUAGCGGUGAAAUGCGUAGAUAUUAGGAGGAACACCAGUGGCGAAGGCGGCCUGCUGGGCUUUAACUGACGCUGAGGCACGAAAGCAUGGGGAGCAAACAGGAUUAGAUACCCUGGUAGUCCAUGCCGUAAACGAUGAUUGCUAGGUGUGGGGGGACUGACCCCUUCCGUGCCGGAGUAAACACAAUAAGCAAUCCACCUGGGGAGUACGGCCGCAAGGCUGAAACUCAAAGGAAUUGACGGGGGCCCGCACAAGCAGUGGAGUAUGUGGUUUAAUUCGAAGCAACGCGAAGAACCUUACCAGGUCUUGACAUCCAACUGACGAGGCAGAGAUGCGUUAGGUGCCCUUCGGGGAAAGUUGAGACAGGUGGUGCAUGGUUGUCGUCAGCUCGUGUCGUGAGAUGUUGGGUUAAGUCCCGC